rnacentral:rRNA from 1 species
CCUACGGGCGGCAGCAGUAGGGAAUAUUGCUCACUGGGGGAAACCCUGAAGCAGCAACGCCGCGUGGAGGAUGAAGGUUUUAGGAUUGUAAACUCCUUUUGUUAGAGAAGAUUAUGACGGUAUCUAACGAAUAAGCACCGGCUAACUCCGUGCCAGCAGCCGCGGUAAUACGUAGGGUGCAAGCGUUACUCGGAAUCACUGGGCGUAAAGAGUGCGUAGGCGGGUUAAUAAGUCAGAUGUGAAAUCCUGUAGCUUAACUACAGAACUGCAUUUGAAACUGUUACUCUGGAGUGUGGGAGAGGUAGGUGGAAUGCGUGGUGUAGGGGUAAAAUGCGUAGAGAUCAAGAGGAAUACUCAUUGCGAAGGCGACCUGCUGGAACAUUACUGACGCUGAUGCACGAAAGCGUGGGGAGCAAACAGGAUUAGAUACCCCUGUAGUC